AUUAGAAAGAGAAGCGGCCAUUGCAAUGAGUUGUUUGUUUGGAGAGUUUUAGCUGAACGCAUUCGAUGGUUGAAUUUAUGCCAUUUGCUGUUGCUUUGCUUGCUCUUGGCUCUUGUUCCACGGAAUUAUCUUUUCUCUAAAUUUUUGUGUCAUCAUGGAAAAUGUCGAUGUCCACUUCUAUUGCCUACUGUACCUACCUAGCUAUAAUUAUGAUAAUUCGUAAUGCAAAAAUUAUUGAUAAAUACUAAUCUAUUUUUAGACAAAUUCAAUUUGGUAACUUUAAAAUUCAUACAAAAAAUUGUCGAAGCAUAAAGGAAAACAUUCGCAGGUUACCAAACAGUCAAAAUGAUCCGUGUUUUUUUAAGGCCGUGUGUCUACUAGGCAAUUUUUUGGAUACUAAUUCAACUAUUUAGCUCUCUUUUACACGGGAAUGCUUAUUGUUCGCGAUGGAGAUUUGUUUAAUUGCAUUCAUUUGUUUCUUAAUUGUAUUUACCUAUAUUGGAGUGAAAUAUUUUCUUUCAGACCGGUUUUCGCAACUUCAAAUGCUCCCCUUCACCCCACAAGGAAUUUGGCGACAAAGAAUUUCUUGUCUGUCAAAAUAAUUUUCCUUAUAACCAAUGAGCACCUGAACCUGACGCAAUGCCUAAUCCUAACAUUGCUCAGGUUCAGACAAUAAAGGCUGGCUAAUCAGAUGACGGAAACUU